rnacentral:rRNA from 1 species
GACGAACGCUGGCGGCGUGCCUAAUACAUGCAAGUCGAGCGAAGUUUUUCUGGUUCUUGCACUAGAAAAACUUAGCGGCGAACGGGUGAGUAACACGUAAAGAACCUGCCUCAUAGACUGGGACAACUAUUGGAAACGAUAGCUAAUACCGGAUAACAGUAUUUCUCGCAUGAGAGAUAUUUAAUAGUUGGUUAUGCUAACACUAUGAGAUGGCUUUGCGGUGCAUUAGCUAGUUGGUGGGGUAAAGGCCCACCAAGGCGACGAUGCAUAGCCGACCUGAGAGGUUGAUAGGCGACCCGGGAACUGAGCCACGGCCCUGACGCCUGCGGGAGGCAGCAGUAGGGAAUCUGCCGCAAUGGGCGAAAGUCUGACGGAGCGACGCCGAGUGAGUGAAGAAGGAUUUCGGUUCGUGAAGCUGUGUUGUUAGGGAAGAAUGGAUAUGUAGUAACUAUACAUGUAAGAGACGGUACCUAACAAGAAAGCCCCGGCUAACUACGUG